UGACAAAUUAUUUUGUGAAAUAAAUAAAAUAACCAAUUUAUUUAGACUGUGCAGUAACAUGUUGUUAUGGUUUAAUAAUUUAUUUGAAACUAAUAAUCAUAAAAAAGCCCUCUGGUGACGUCAGUCAUUGACAAGGACAUCGUCAUGGACCAGUGGUGAAGAGCCUCGAGAGAAGGUUAAUUUUUCGAAAGGAGAAGUCCACUAUUUCAGCUUCAUCAUUCAGCCUGGAAACUGAACUGCUUCAUAAAACUUGUGCUUGAAAAGUGUCAUGGGACCCAUAUUAAGUUUCCAAAUUUGGUCUGCUGCACACAAGUAGCUUUGAAGAAGAAGGAUCCCAGCUUAAAGAAAAACAUGUGUCACAUCCAUAAUUGUUUGACAUCAUCUUCAAGCACACCUGUGAGAAUAUUAAGGUCGUUGCUUAAAAAAAGUCCUGCAGAGAAGAAAUAUGUAUUGAAAGGUGUAAUUUUGCCUACAAGAUUCCUUGUUGCAAUGUCUUCAAAACAAAUGUAAAAAUGAAAGGAUUUCAGUGGUGAGCUCAAAUGAUGGGAUCAAAAUGAAGUGAACUGGACUCUGAGGGACUUCA